GGCAGGCGGGUCGGGUGGAUCGGGUCUAAAGACUAAACGACGUCGUUUUAGGGCUAUGAUGCCAAGCCCUAAACGACGCCGUUUAAGAGGGGUAUAAAAUUCCAAUUUUUUAGCAAAAAUUCAUUCUCUUCCACUCUUCAAAAAAAAACACAAAAUACUCUCUCAACUCUCCCUCUUCUCAGUCCCUCCUCCGGCUAGGGUCCGGCCGCCUCCGGUCAUGGGGCCGUCGCGCCGGCCACUGUGUCAAAAGGCAAGUGGGGUGAUGGGCGAGCGGCGCGAGUCAGAGGGCAGGUGGCUGAGAUGAUUGACGGCGGCGGCAGAUGCAGAAGGCCCUAGGUGCGGCGCACCUAGGGUUAGGGUUUCUUUUUUUUGAUUUGUGUUUUGGGUAAUGGGUUUUGUAAUUGGGCUUGGGUAGGUUUUAAAUUUUUGGGCCUGUUAGUUGUUGAGGCCCGGGUAAAUUUGGGCUGUACAGUCAUCUUUGGAAAA